rnacentral:rRNA from 1 species
CGAACGCUGGCGGCGUGCCUAACACAUGCAAGUCGAACGGAUUUGAGGGGCUUGCUCCUCAAGUUAGUGGCGCACGGGUGAGUAACGCGUAGAUAAUCUGCCCGACGAUCUGGGAUAACACUUCGAAAGGGGUGCUAAUACCGGAUAAGCCCACGUGGUCUUUGGACCGUGCGGGAAAAGGGGGGGACCUUCGGGCCUUCUGUCGUCGGAUGAGUCUGCGUACCAUUAGCUAGUUGGUAGGGUAAUGGCCUACCAAGGCUACGAUGGUUAGCUGGUCUGAGAGGAUGAUCAGCCACACUGGAACUGAGACACGGUCCAGACUCCUACGGGAGGCAGCAGUGGGGAAUUUUGCGCAAUGGGCGAAAGCCUGACGCAGCAACGCCGCGUGAGUGAUGAAGGCUUUCGGGUCGUAAAGCUCUGUCAGGGGGAAAGAAGUGUAUUGUGGCUAAUAUCCACGAUACUUGACGGUACCCCCAAAGGAAGCACCGGCUAACUCCGUGCCAGCAGCCGCGGUAAUACGGAGGGUGCGAGCGUUGUUCGGAAUUAUUGGGCGUAAAGCGCGUGUAGGCGGUUUGUUAAGUCUGAUGUGAAAGCCCCGGGCUCAACCUGGGAAGUGCAUUGGAAACUGGCAGACUUGAAUACGGGAGAGGGUAGUGGAAUUCCUAGUGUAGGAGUGAAAUCCGUAGAUAUUAGGAGGAACACCGGUGGCGAAGGCGGCUGCCUGGACCGAUAUUGACGCUGAGACGCGAAAGCGUGGGUAGCAAACAGGAUUAGAUACCCUGGUAGUCCACGCCGUAAACGAUGAGUACUAGGUGUUGCGGGUAUUGACCCCUGCAGUGCCGCAGCUAACGCAUUAAGUACUC